rnacentral:misc_RNA from 1 species
GAAAUGCGAUACGUAAUGCGAAUUGCAGAAUUCAGUGAAUCAUCAAAUCUUUGAACGCAAAUUGCGCUCUUUGGAUAGGCCAGAGAGCAUGCCUCUUUGAGAAUCGUUUCUACCUCAACUCGGCAGCUUUGCUGCUGGAUAAUGAGCGUCUCAUUCGAAAUGAAUAAGUCGCUUGAAGUAGUGCGAGUUUCUAUUACUCCUAGUGUCAAAGCGGAAACGCUUGCCCUGUUUUCGGUGGUUAGACAUUAGUGAUGUGGUUAAUACUUUUUCUUACAUCAUUAGUGGCUUUCAAUCUUAAAUGGUUUGGUCAAGGCAUUAGAAUAGAACUAUGAUGGAAAUUAAAUUCUUUUGAAUUUGAUCUCAAAUGAAGCAAGACUACCCGCUGAACUUAA